ACCCGCUGAACUUAAGCAUAUCAAUAAGCGGAGGAAAAGAAACCAACAGGGAUUGCCCUAGUAACGGCGAGUGAAGCGGCAAAAGCUCAAAUUUGAAAUCUGGCGUCUUUGGCGUCCGAGUUGUAAUUUGCAGAGGGCGCUUUGGCAUUGGCAGCGGUCCAAGUUCCUUGGAACAGGACGUCACAGAGGGUGAGAAUCCCGUACGUGGUCGCUAGCCUUUACCGUGUAAAGCCCCUUCGACGAGUCGAGUUGUUUGGGAAUGCAGCUCUAAAUGGGAGGUAAAUUUCUUCUAAAGCUAAAUACUGGCCAGAGACCGAUAGCGCACAAGUAGAGUGAUCGAAAGAUGAAAAGCACUUUGGAAAGAGAGUUAAAAAGCACGUGAAAUUGUUGAAAGGGAAGCGCUUGCAGCCAGACUUGCCUGUAGUUGCUCAUCCGGGUUUUUACCCGGUGCACUCUUCUAUAGGCAGGCCAGCAUCAGUUUGGGCGGUUGGAUAAAGGUCUCUGUCAUGUACCUCUCUUCGGGGAGAACUUAUAGGGGAGACGACAUGCAACCAGCCCGGACUGAGGUCCGCGCAUCUGCUAGGAUGCUGGCGUAAUGGCUGU
rnacentral:rRNA from 1 species